rnacentral:rRNA from 1 species
GGAAUGGUCUCAGCGAUGCUCGACUAUAUUGGCCCCAUCGACGUAAUUAACUUCUGGCUGCUGCAAAGAAGGAGAACAAAAGGUUUAGGGAUUAAGUCAGGUGUCAUGUGGGUGCAUAGCCCCUGGCAUAUU